rnacentral:rRNA from 1 species
AUGGAGAGAGAAGCUGGCUGCCCGACAAAGAAAAGAAGCAGAGAUAGAAAAGCAUCCAUCCGGCUGCUUGUGCAAAAAAGAGGCCGAGUACCUGCUAGCCGGCUGAAGAGAAAAGCUGAGGCCGACUGGUGGCGUCCGGCUGCUCACAUGCAGUCAAAAAAAAAAGGGUCCAGUUGCCUGCGUGGAGUCAGACUGAAAAAGAAAAGAAAAUUUGUGUAUGCACCCGGCUGCCCAGUGUCGGGUCAAGAAAAGGCCGGGUGCCACGGUCGACUGGCAGAAAAAAAAGGAGGAUCCAACUUUGCAGACUACAGUCCAGCCGACUGCUCUGGUCAACAGCCCGCGUUGCCGCUGGACCGGCUGGUUCGUCUGCCCGCUUCGCCGCCUGGCUGA